rnacentral:tRNA from 2 species
GGAGAGAUGGCAGAGUGGUCGAAUGCGGCGGUCUUGAAAACCGUUAGCCCUCCGGGGCUCGGGGGUUCGAAUCCCCCUCUCUCCGCCA